rnacentral:rRNA from 1 species
UACGUAGGGGGCUAGCGUUGUCCGGAAUCACUGGGCGUAAAGGGUGCGUAGGCGGCCGUGUAAGUCUGGCGUGAAAGCCCCGGGCUCAGCCCGGGAAGUGCGCUCGAAACUGCGCGGCUCGAGUGCCGGAGGGGAGAGUGGAAUUCCUGGUGUAGCGGUGAAAUGCGUAGAUAUCAGGAGGAAUACCGGUGGCGAAAGCGACUCUCUGGACGGCAACUGACGCUGAGGCACGAAAGCGUGGGGAGCAAACAGG